UGCUUCGUCUUCCCCCUCGCCUUGGAAAAACCAGUUUCUCUCUCUUUCAUUGUCUGCUACCAACUUCUAUUCCAAAACUUCAACGGAACCCCAACCAUAUUCCAAACUGUCUUUCUCUGGCUACCUUUGGCCCCCUCCACUCCAACGCACUUUCCUCUGCUCUCAUAUGCCUUCUCACUAACGGGAGAAUGGCUUUGGGACCCACCCCUACCUUCCCUCAGGAGCCAUUUCUGUUCUGCACGGGCCUGCAGCACUGGACACUUUAUACAGUAAGUAGCUCUCCUUUCUCAUUUCCUGUCCUCAAACCUUAGGAGAGGAAGAACAUUCCAAGGCUUGGAAUUCCUUUUCUUUCUCUCAUGCGCGUGAGCCUGCAGCCUCCCCUUUGCUUGAGUUCUCUUUUGAAAAAUCUAUUGAUUGUUUCGAAUCAAGCUCAUAAUAGGCCCUGCUGUGUUGAAGGUGCAGACACUCAUACCUACAGACACGGGGCCUCCGGAGCACCCAUCCUGCAGGCCGAGGACCCCACGUGAAGGCGAGGCGCCCGCACACUCCCGCCGAGGACUUGAAGACUCUGGUGGGCCAUCCAUGGUGGGAGGAUGAGAGUGGGGUAAGGAGGGUCUGCAGGGAGACUCACUGGCCCCUUGGCUUCCAAGUUGGGCUUAGAUCCAAAGAGAAUGCAAAGAAUCCUCCCAACCCAGAACUCUUUGCUUCCACCCUCUCCUGCCAUCGUUUAUUGGAGCCGAACGGGAGGUCUCUAGAAUAGGCCAAAGGCAUGGCAGGACGAUGUGGGGCGGGCCAUUCACAAGCAGGCCGCGUUCUCUCAUGACUGAACUGAGGAUUCAUGAGGAAGGCCGAGUGGAGGAGGAUGGGCCAGCCUUCUUCCUCUCAGUGCCCACGGACAGCGGGGCCCUUCCUCGGCCAUGGCUAGGACCCCCAGCCCUUGCUGAGGAGUCUUUUUCAGAGACCAGAGGCCUAAUGCCCGGGGCUGGGGAGGCUGGAUGUCAGGGAGGAGCCACGUUCUAAGCUGCUGCUCCCAGCAUCGGGUCAGGACAAGCCCCAGGAAGAAAGUAUUCCAAACAACAGGGCGGAUCUGCCCUCACUACCCAGUGUGCAUGUCGGUGCUGAGAACAGCCUUUUAUGGGGUUUGCACUGAGCCACGGGCAUGUCUGAACACAGCAAGGAAGAGGCCCGGCAGCAGCCACACAGCCACCGGUUCGUGGGCACUUCUCUUCGGAGGGUGGGGAGGCCUCAGAGCCCUAGUUAAUUCAGCCUCUGAGAGCCAGGCCAUCUCCUCCCUCCCCACAGCCCCCAGCCCUAUGCCUCCAAAAGGUGAGGGUGUGCCAUUUCCAAACAGACUUAGGGAAGGAUGUGGGGCCACCAGAAAGCAGAUGUCCUGGGUAAGUCUACGUCCAGCAGCGAGACCCAGGAGUCUCACUCUCCUCUGCCCCGCACCCCCAGCCCAGCCGGUGUCCUGGUCCCUCCCGAGCUCCUCAGCCCCUCCUCCUGAUUGCCCGCUGGCAGAUGGGCCUGCCAAAUGCUGUCCACGCUCACUGGACAGUGCAUUCUGGAGAGGAGGCCCCGUCCCUGCAUUCCCUCACCUUGGUGAGCAGGUCCAUAGGUGAUGCGUUUUUCUAAAGUAACUCAGAACACCUGACUUCCACACCGAGCUCAGUCACAUCACACACAGGGGGACACAGACAAAGGGGGGAGGUGGCCAGCUCCCCAACGAGGUAGACAGAGAAGUUCCCCCUGGAUAUGCCUGCAUGGCUGCCUCGGGGGUGAGAAACAGCAGAUGCCAGCCCCACAGCCCAGCCCGCACUCAGCACUGUCCGCCGGUGCUGCAGACACAGGGUGGCUUGGCGAGCCUGCUCUCUGCAGCCCGUGGAAGGCAGUGAUCCUGGGAGGGCAGAGCAUCCAGGUCCCCCACAUCUCCCACAUCUGCGACUCCAAGAUCCCGAAGGCCUGCGACCAGGCAGUAACCCUGCGUGCAGAGGCUGGGGAUGACGUGCAGCCCACCCUCUGAGCAAAAGACCCCCAGACGAUCCAUGUGUUUCUCUUGUCCUUCAUUCCACCGGAGUCUGUUUCAUACCCAACCAGAUUUCAGUGGAGUGAAGUUCAGGAGGCAUGGAGCUGACGCCACCGCCGCAGCAGCCCCAACAGUGGCAGCGGGGGGAGCUCUGUCUUAGAAAACGGAACCCCAGGGAGAGAUGGGAUAGAGGAGGAGACACUGGAGCAAAGUGUCUUCUGCGGAGGGGACAGGUGUAGGUGGAUUGGGAACAGCACCACAGAUAGGAACCGCCUUCUAAAUGCCUGCAACGGGAAUGUGUGUUUUCUGUAACUCACAAACAUUAAAAAGUUGUCCGUCUGCUGGAAA